rnacentral:rRNA from 1 species
AGUAACGCGUAAACAACCUGCCCUUCGGAUGGGGAUAACAGCCGGAAACGGCUGCUAAUACCGAAUACGAUCUUUUCGUCGCAUGACGGAAAGAAGAAAGGAUGGCCUCUAUACAAAGCUAUCGCCGAAGGAGGGGUUUGCGUCUGAUUAGCUGGUUGGAGGGGUAACGGCCCAACAAGGCGAUGAUCAGUAGCCGGUCUGAGAGGAUGAACGGCCACAUUGGGACUGAGACACGGCCCAGACUCCUACGGGAGGCAGCAGAA